UGCGUUGACUAGGCCUAAUAAGAC
rnacentral:siRNA from 1 species